rnacentral:rRNA from 1 species
GGACGAACGCUGGCGGCGUGCCUAAUACAUGCAAGUUGAACGCAACAAAGACACCAGAGCUUGCUCUACCGUUUUUGUUGAGUAGCGAACGGGUGAGUAACGCGUGGGUAACCUGCCUUAUAGCGGGGGAUAACUAUUGGAAACGAUAGCUAAUACCGCAUAACAAUAGAGAUUGCAUAAUCUUUAUUUGAAAGUGCCAACUGGUACACUAUGAGAUGGACCCGCGUUGUAUUAGCUAGUUGGUAGUGUAAUGGACUACCAAGGCGAUGAUACAUAGCCGACCUGAGAGGGUGAUCGGCCACAUUGGGACUGAGACACGGCCCAAACUCCUACGGGAGGCAGCAGUAGGGAAUCUUCGGCAAUGGACGAAAGUCUGACCGAGCAACGCCGCGUGAGUGAAGAAGGUUUUCGGAUCGUAAAACUCUGUUGUUAGAGAAGAAUGUUGAUUAGAGUGGAAAAUUAAUCAAGUGACGGUAUCU